rnacentral:lncRNA from 1 species
AGAUGGUGAGAUAUAACAUUGGUGUUACUCCCUCGUUGCGGGAGUUUGUAGUUGAGGCUUUUGGGAAAGAAGGGCGAAGUGAAGAGAUUGAGAGGCUGUUAGAAGCAAAUAGGCCGGGAUUUGGUGCAUAUUGGCCACCAUCAGGUCCUCCUCGAAUGGCAGGACCCCCUCGAAUGGCAGGGCCUCCUCGAAUGGCUGGACCCCCUCAAAUGGCAGAACCCCCUCGAAUGGCAGGACCUCCUCAAAUGGCAGAACCCCCCCGGAUGGCAGAAUCCUCUAGAAUGGAAGAACCUCCUCAGAUGGCAGGACAGGCAUCAACAUAAUUUUUAGAUCCAUUUGUGGAUUGAAUUUUUGCCCUCCCAUCCUAAUUUUGAUCCGGAG